rnacentral:rRNA from 1 species
UACGGGGGGGGCAAGCGUUGUUCGGAAUUACUGGGCGUAAAGGGCUCGUAGGCGGCCAACUAAGUCAGACGUGAAAUCCCUCGGCUUAACCGGGGAACUGCAUCUGAUACUGGAUGGCUGGAGAUUGGGAGAGGGAUGCGGAAUUCCAGGUGUAGCGGUGAAAUGCGUAGAUAUCGGGAGGAACACCAGUGGCGAAGGCGAGUCCCUGGACAAUUCCUGACGCUGAGGCACGAAAGCCAGGGGAGCAAACAGG